rnacentral:rRNA from 1 species
GAAUCUUGGGCAAUGGGCGAAAGCCUGACCCAGCGACGCCGCGUGAGGGAUGAAGGCCUUCGGGUCGUAAACCUCUGUCGGGAGGGAAGAACGUCGGUGAGGUGAAUAAUCUCGUCGGUUGACGGUACCUCCAGAGGAAGCGCCGGCUAACUCCGUGCCAGCCGCCGCGGUAAUACGGAGGGCGCAAGCGGUGUUCGGAAGCACUGGGCGUAAAGCGCGUGGAGGCGGCCGGGCAAGUCGGAUGUGAAAUCCCGAGGCUCAACCUCGGAACUGCAUUCGAAACUGCUCGGCUCGAGUCCCGGAGAGGAUGGCGGAAUUCCCGGUGUAGGGGUGAAAUCCGUAGAUAUCGGGAGGAACACCAGUGGCGAAGGCGGCCAUCUGGACGGUGACUGACGCUGAGACGCGAAAGCGUGGGGAGCAAACAGG